rnacentral:rRNA from 1 species
UACGGAGGGUGCGAGCGUUGUCCGGAAUCAUUGGGCGUAAAGGGCGCGUAGGUGGCCUGCUAAGCGUGCGGUGAAAGUCGGGGGCUCAACCCCCGAUCGGCCGUGCGAACUGGGAGGCUUGAGCACUGUAGAGGCAGGCGGAAUUCCGGGUGUAGCGGUGAAAUGCGCAGAUAUCAGGAGGAACACCGGUGGCGAAGGCGGGUCUCUGGGCAGUAACUGACGCUGAGGAGCGAAAGCGUGGGUAGCAAACAGG